rnacentral:lncRNA from 1 species
CCAGAAUUUGCAAAAACAGAAAGAUAUGCAUUCACAUAUUUUCUUCAAGUUUGUAAAAUUACUUUUUAGUACAAACAUGGCAAAUUUUCCCAAAGAACUAUUAUACUCCUAACCAGUUCAUCCUGGAUGUUUCUGUCACAGUCGAUUCAGACACCUUGUUAAUGUCUGGAAUGAAUAGAGCAAAAAAUACAAAAAAAUGCAGGAAACAGAUUACAACUAAAAAAAAUGCAGGAUAAAUUUUUCAUACCCUCCCCCUCCC